rnacentral:snRNA from 1 species
ACGGCGUGCCUCGGCAUCAGCG